GAAAUGCGAUAAGUAAUGUGAAUUGCAGAAUUCAGUGAAUCAUCGAAUCUUUGACGCACCUUGCGCUCCUUGGUAUUCCUUGGAGCAUGCCUGUUUGAGUAUCAUGAAAUCUUCAAAGUAAAUCUUUUGUUAACUCAAUUGGUUUCUACUUUGGUAUUGGAGGUCUUUGCAGCUUCACACCUGCUCCUCUUUGUUCAUUAGCUGGAUCUCAGUGUUAUGCUUGGUUCCACUCGGCGUGAUAAGUUAUCUAUCGCUGAGGACACUGUAAAAGGUGGCCAAGGUAAAUGCAGAUGAACCGCUUCUAAUAGUCCAUUGACUUGGACAAUACUUUUAUGAUCUGAUCUCAAAUCAGGUAGGACUACCCGCUGAACUUAAGC
rnacentral:misc_RNA from 1 species